rnacentral:sRNA from 1 species
AUUCUGCCCAUGCGGGGAAGGAUGAGAAGCAACGACCCGAAGGGCGAAGCGCGCAGCGCUGAGUAAUCCUUCCCCCACCACCA